rnacentral:tRNA from 1 species
GUGGUUAUAGUGUAAUGGUUAGCACAAGGGAUUGUGGAUCCCUUAGUACGGGUUCAAAUCCCGUUAGCCACC